rnacentral:rRNA from 1 species
GACGAACGCUGGCGGCGUGCUUAACACAUGCAAGUCGAACGGAAAGGCCCUGCUUUUGUGUGGUGCUCGAGUGGCGAACGGGUGAGUAACACGUGAGUAACCUGCCCUUGACUUUGGGAUAACUUCAGGAAACUGGGGCUAAUACCGGAUAGGAGCUCCUGCUGCAUGGUGGGGGUUGGAAAGUUGCGGCGGGUGGGGCUGGACGCGCGGCUUAUCAGCUUGUUGGUGGGGUAGUGGCUUACCAAGGCUGUGACGGGUAGCCGGCCUGAGAGGGUGACCGGCCACAUUGGGACUGAGAGACGGAGCAGAGUCCUACGGGGGGCAGCAGUGGGGAAUAUUGCACAAUGGGCGGAAGCCUGAUGCAGCAACGCCGCGUGCGGGAUGACGGCCUUCGGGUUGUAAACCGCUUUCGCCUGUGACGAAGCGUGAGUGACGGUAAUGGGUAAAGAAGCACCGGCUAACUACGUG